AUUGAACGCUGGCGGCAGGCCUAACACAUGCAAGUCGAGCGAGCGGCGGACGGGUGAGUAAUGUCUGGGAAUCUGCCUGAUGGAGGGGGAUAACUACUGGAAACGGUAGCUAAUACCGCAUACCAUCAGAUGUGCCCAGAUGGGAUUAGCUAGUAGGUCGGGUAACGGCUCACCUAGGCGACGAUACCUAGCUGGUCUGAGAGGAUGAACAGCCAAACUGGACCUGAGACACGGUCCAGACUCCGACGGUAGGUAGCAGUGGGGAAUAUGGCACAAUGGGAGCAAGCCUUAUGCAGCCAUGCCGCGGGUGUGAAGAAGGCCGUCGGGUUGGAAAGCACUUUCAGGGGGGAGGCGUGACCCGCAGAAGAAGCACCGGCUAACUCCGUGCCAGCGGCCGCGGUAAUAC
rnacentral:rRNA from 1 species